rnacentral:rRNA from 1 species
GACGAACGCUGGCGGCAUGCCUAAUACAUGCAAGUUGAACGAUGAUAUUCUCUGCUUGCCGAGAAUUGAAGAGUAGCGAACGGGUGAGUAACACGUGGGGAACCUGCCCAUGAGAGGGGGAUAACAUUCGGAAACGGAUGCUAAUACCGCAUAAUGCUUUGGACCGCCUGGUCCAGAGACGAAAGACGGCUUUUGCUGUCACUCAUGGAUGGCCCCGCGCCGUAUUAGCUAGUUGGUGAGGUAAUGGCUCACCAAAGCUGUGAUACGUAGCCGACCUGAGAGGGUGAUCGGCCACACUGGGACUGAGACACGGCCCAGACUCCUACGGGAGGCAGCAGUAGGGAAUCUUCCACAAUGGGCGAAAGCCUGAUGGAGCAAUGCCGCGUGAAUGAAGAAGGUCUUCGGAUCGUAAAGUUCUGUUAUUAGAGAAGAACAAGUCAAGGAGUAACUGUCUUGACUUUGACGGUACCUAACCAGAAAGACACGGCUAACUACGUG